GACGAACCGUGCGAACGUUGUUCGGAAUCACUGGCUUAGAGGGCGCGUAGGCGGGCAAGCAAGUCUGGGGUGAAAUCUUUCGGCCCAAACGGAAAAGGGCCUCGGAAACUGCUUGUCUGGAGGAAGGUAAGGGUGUGUGGAACUUCCGGUGGAGCGGUGAAAUGCGUAGAGAUCGGAAGGAACGCCGGUGGCGAAAGCGACGCACUGGACCUUUUCUGACGCUGUGUCGCGAAAGCCAGGUGAGCAAACGGG
rnacentral:rRNA from 1 species